rnacentral:tRNA from 1 species
GGGGCUGUAGCUCAGCUGGGAGAGCGCAUGAAUGGCAUUCAUGAGGUCAGGGGUUCGAAACCCCUCAGCUCCACCA